rnacentral:rRNA from 1 species
GAUGAACGCUGGCGGCGUGCUUAACACAUGCAAGUCGAACGGAAAGGCUCCUGCUUGCAGGGGUACUCGAGUGGCGAACGGGUGAGUAACACGUGGGUGAUCUGCCCUGCACUUCGGGAUAAGCCUGGGAAACUGGGUCUAAUACCGGAUAGGACCACAUUUUGGAUGGUGUGGUGGAAAGUUUUUCGGUGUGGGGUGAGCUCGCGGCCUAUCAGCUUGUUGGUGGGGUAAUGGCCUACCAAGGCGUCGACGGGUAGCCGGCCUGAGAGGGUGUACGGCCACAUUGGGACUGAGAUACGGCCCAGACUCCUACGGGAGGCAGCAGUGGGGAAUAUUGCACAAUGGGCGCAAGCCUGAUGCAGCGACGCCGCGUGGGGGAUGACGGCCUUCGGGUUGUAAACUCCUUUCGCUAGGGACGAAGCGUUUUUGUGACGGUACCUGGAGAAGAAGCACCGGCUAACUACGUG